ACCUCAGUGCCGUGGACGUACAUCUGAAACACCUGAGACAAGUCUUCCAGGUGAUGCGAGAGAACAAGCUCUACGCAAACCUGAAGAAAUGUGUCUUCUGCGCACCGGAGAUUCCGGUGUUGGGAUGCUACGUGAGCAAGAACGGUGUGCGCGCGGAUCCCGAGAAGGUUUCGUCUAUCUGUGCUUGGCCAACGCCGACAAGCCCCACUGAGUUGCGUCAGUGGCUUGGCAUGGCCAAUUACUUGCACAAGUACACGAAGAAUUACGCUGGGUUGAUCCAGCCGCUGUCCUCGCUGCUGAAGAAAGAUAUGAUCUGGGAGUGGAAAUCCGACCACCAAGCUGCAUUCGACUCGGUGAAGAAGGGCUUGGCGUCUGCGCCGAUCCUGAAGCUUGCUGAUGACUCAAAGCCAUUCCACGUCGUCUGCGACGCGAGCGAUUUUGCCAUCGGCUGUGCGCUGAUGCAGUUCGAUGAUGACGAACACGAACGCGUUAUCAGUUAUCAGUCGCGCCAACUGAAGCCAGCCGAGAAGAAUUACCCAGUCCACGACAAGGAGCUCCUGGCAAUGCGGUACGCUCUGAUCAAAUUCAGAGUGUACUUGCUCGGUGAACAGUCGUUCGCGGCUUACACUGAUCACGCAUCGCUGCAGACAGCGAUGAAGAGCCCUCACUUGUCGCAACGGAUGGCCCGUUGGCUGUCCUUCUUCUCCGAGUACAACUUCGUUGUUCACUACAAGCCGGGCAAGAAUAGCAUUCUCGCCGACGCGCUGUCUCGGCGUCCGGACUACGAUCCCCGUGAAGCGCUAGGACAUCAGCUGGCUGAUGAGGACGACGAAGAAUGUGCGGUCUGCGUGUCGUCAGGCAUCAACUUGACGUUGACCACGCCCACGCUCCCGCUGGGCGACAAGAUUGCCACAGCGUACGAUGAUGACCCUAUAUACGGUGCCAUCAUGAAGCACCUGCGUGCUCCUAGUAGUGACACGCUAAGUGCCCUGUCAAAGACCACGCGGAAUCAGAUCGAUCGAUACCGACUGGACGGCAAUCUGCUCAAGUACAGCAUCGACAGGUUCGAUGGACCUCGAGUCGUCGUCCCAAACGACGCUGAUCUACGUGCGCGCAUAAUCCACGAGUAUCAUGACACCCCGACUGGAGGACAUCUCGGUCGCGAGAAGACGUACGCGGCUCUGUCGAGAGACUUCUAUUGGCCCGCACAUGUACAAGUGGGUACGCAAGUGGGUCCGCACAAGUGAAACUUGCCAGCGAGUCAAACCGUCUUCGACGUCUCAACCCCAUUGCGCCCUCUUCUAGUCGCCACGGAAGCCUGGCGCUCGAUUUCGAUGGACUUCAUCUUCGGUCUUCCGCCCGUUUAGACCGUCGUGAGACAGGUUAGUUUUACCCUACUGAUGAGUUCGUUGUCUAAACAGUAAUCCAACCCAGUACGAGAGGAACCGUUGGUUCAGAUAAUUGGUAACUGCGGUUAGCUGAAAAGCUAGUGCCGCCAAGCUACCAUCUGUAGGAUUAUGGCUGAACGCCUCUAAGUCAGAAUCCAUGCUGGAAUAGACGAUAAUCACCUUUCCCGAUGUGCCGCGAAUAGCGAUAGGUGUCUUCUGGACACCCAACAUCAUACAAUUGCAACGCACUCCGCUGCCUGUCAAGUACUGGCGGUGGAGAGUAGGCUGAUUUGUAAUUUCAAAUAUUGGGAAAGAUAAAUCCUUUGUAGACGACUUAACUACAGAACGGGGUGUUGUAAGCAUGAGAGUAGUCUUGUACUACGAUCUGCUGAGAUUUAGCCCUUGUUCUAUUGAUUUGU
rnacentral:ncRNA from 1 species